AUAAAUAAAUAAAUAAGUGAUUGAGUUUUCAUGUUCACGUGUUGAAUGUGCCUCCCUCAAACCUUGUUAGGCCAUUAGCACAUUACCCAUUUGAUG
rnacentral:ncRNA from 1 species